GCCCGCGUGGCACAAUUGGUCAGCGCGUGAGACUUUUAUGAUAAAAUAAUCUCAAGGUUGAGAGUUCGAGCCUCUCCGCGGGCG
rnacentral:tRNA from 2 species